AAUACAAUUCAUGAUACAACCAGAGAUAAAAGAACAAAACGAAGAAAGGAGAACAUUAUAAGACUCAAAGCAUUUGUAAGUAUUCAUAAACUAGUAUCCAGCUUGCCCUAGAUGAUAGUAAAUGAUAAUAACUUCAGAAAUAAUUAAGGCAUUACCACUUCUCAAUGUAGAUAUCUGUAUCAGACAGUUGUCAUUAUGCUAACUAUUUAUAUGGUACAAGAAUGAGUAAAUCAAUGUUAAAUUUAUUUGCAUUUGCAAGACUAUUAAAAGAUCUAGGACAAACUAAUGAAUGAAAAUUAACAUCUAUGUCUCUUUGUAAAGGCCAAGGAGAAAUACGUUAAAACAAUGAGUAGCCAGACAAAGGUUCAUUACAUUUUCUAAUUCAGAAGAAGCUAAUGUAACUGUAAACCAACAUAAUUCAACUUUAGCAUCACUCCCAAUGUUUUGGAUCAUAUGGGUGUGUUCACAAUGCUGAAAAAAUAACUACAAGCUUUACUAUAUAUGCACUCAUAAAUGUUUCUGUCUGAAUUGACAAUUCGGAGCAAAUAAAAUUGCAGGAACUGGAAGAGGAGAAAAUAAAAACCAAGUCGAAGCAUGGGGAUCAUAAUAAGUUCACUUUGAUAAAAUUACUCAUAUUAAAGAAAGAAAAUCUAGAAUUAUUUUAUGCAUGUAAAUUCAGAAUAUUUGCAUUCUAGUUUCUUUCUUUAAGAUGAAAUUUUGAAUAUGAAAGAAACAAUCAUGAAUAAUAACUAGCAUUACCUAUAUACUUGUAUAUGCAAAAUCUUAAGAAGAUAGGUGUAUGCCUUUAUCUUAAGAAGAUACAUGGAUGCCUUUAAUCAUGAAUGUUGCUGUCAUCUUGUAUUUCCUGAUGCUGUAUGCCUUCAAACUAACUAUACUAAAAUCAAUUUUGAGAAAACUGAGAGGGCUGUUCUUUAAUUUACAUCAUACAGGUCAAUUAUGCUGAGACUGGCACAUGUCAUGCUUUAAGAGGCAUUCCUCCAUAUAACAACACUCGCAAGUACCUUGAUGACUGAAAAAGUGAAGGAAAUUAAAGACUAUCAGAACUAAAUGUGAUGUGCACAUCUGCCUAGGGAAGAAAUAGCAAUUGCUGAGGUACAAACAAAUGUGAUUCCUAAAAAUCAAGCUAUCAAAUUGUAUUGCAACUCUUUGGUUUUUUAAGUCACUGUUAAAAUGUAAGAGGAGG
rnacentral:lncRNA from 1 species